rnacentral:rRNA from 1 species
UACGUAGGGGGCUAGCGUUGUCCGGAAUCAUUGGGCGUAAAGCGCGUGUAGGCGGCCAGGUAGGUCUGCUGUGAAAACUCGAGGCUCAACCUCGAGACGUCGGCGGAAACCAUCUGGCUAGAGUCCGGAAGAGGAGAGUGGAAUUCCUGGUGUAGCGGUGAAAUGCGCAGAUAUCAGGAAGAACACCCGUGGCGAAGGCGGCUCUCUGGGACGGUACUGACGCUGAGACGCGAAAGCGUGGGGAGCGAACAGG